rnacentral:rRNA from 1 species
UGCAUUUAAUACAUGCAAGUCGAACGCGAAAGCACUUUCGGGUGUUAGUAGAGUGGCAAACGGGUGAGUAACGCGUGGGAAUAUACCUUAUAGUACGGAAUAGCCUCGGGAAACUGGGAUUAAUACCGUAUACGCCCUCAGGGGGAAAGAUUUAUCGCUAUAAGAUUAGCCCGCGUUAGAUUAGCUAGUUGGUGGGGUAAUAGCCUACCAAGGCAACGAUCUAUAGCUGGUCUGAGAGGACGAUCAGCCACAUUGGGACUGAGACACGGCCCAAACUCCUACGGGAGGCAGCAGUGGGGAAUAUUGGACAAUGGACGAAAGUCUGAUCCAGCAAUGCCGCGUAAAUGAUGAAGGCCUUAGGGUUGUAAAGUUCUUUAAGUGGGGAAGAUAAUGACGGUACCCACAGAAUAAGCACCGGCUAACUUCGUGCCAGCCGCCGCCGUAA